GUGUGCCGCAGCCACAGCGGGCGCGGGAAUGGGGCGCCCUCGAAGUAGGGCGGGUAGGGCGGCAGGCUGCCGGGCGGCGCGGGCAGCAGCGGCGGCACCUGGUCGUCCCCAGGCUGCGGCUGCGUCUCACCAGGCGUGGGGUCCCUGGCAGCAGGAACACAGGCAGCGGCAGGAGGCUCCUCGGGCUUCGGGAGGGACGAUGGCUGGCAGAACAGCCCGGACUUCUUGCUGCAGUCCAGCAGCACGCCGGCGAAGCGACGCUCUCCGCAGCGCAGCGUCACCACCAGCGUGUCGUUCACCACCUGCUCCACCAGCACCGGCAGCCACGCGCCCACCCGCGGCGCCUCCGCCUCCGCCAUGCUGCCGCCGCCGCCGCUCCUCCCCCUCCCGGCGGGGCCGCGCCGCGCGAUGACCUCACGGUGCGGGCGCCCGCGGCGGCGGAGCGGCGGAGCGGAGCGCUGACG
rnacentral:lncRNA from 1 species